rnacentral:rRNA from 1 species
GACGAACGCUGGCGGCGUGCUUAACACAUGCAAGUCGAACGGAGCGAAUGAAAGCUUGCUUUUAUGAGCUUAGUGGCAAACGGGUGAGUAACACGUAGACAACCUGCCGACAGGAUGGGGACAACAUUCCGAAAGGAAUGUAAUACCGAAUGAAGCGGAGGAGAGGCAUCUCUCCUCCGUGAAAGAUGGCCUCUAUUUAUAAGCUAUCACCUGUCGAUGGGUCUGCGUCUGAUUAGCUGGUUGGUGAGGUAACGGCUCACCAAGGCGACGAUCAGUAGCCGGUCUGAGAGGAUGAACGGCCACAUUGGGACUGAGACACGGCCCAGACUCCUACGGGAGGCAGCAGUGGGGAAUCUUCCGCAAUGGGCGCAAGCCUGACGGAGCAACGCCGCGUGAGUGAAGAAGGUCUUCGGAUCGUAAAGCUCUGUUGACGGGGACGAACGUGCGAGAGGUGAAUAAUCUCUGCAAUGACGUACCUUCGAGGAGCCCGUA